CCUACGGGGGGCUGCAGUGGGGAAUAUUGGACAAUGGGCGAAAGCCUGAUCCAGCCAUGCCGCGUGUGUGAAGAAGGCCUUCGGGUUGUAAAGCACUUUCAGUGGGGAAGAAAGCCUUGGGGCUAAUACCCUCGAGGAAGGACAUCACCCACAGAAGAAGCACCGGCUAACUCCGUGCCAGCAGCCGCGGUAAUACGGAGGGUGCGAGCGUUAAUCGGAAUUACUGGGCGUAAAGCGCGCGUAGGCGGUCUGAUAAGCCGGUUGUGAAAGCCCCGGGCUCAACCUGGGAACGGCAUCCGGAACUGUCAGGCUAGAGUGCAGGAGAGGAAGGUAGAAUUCCCGGUGUAGCGGUGAAAUGCGUAGAGAUCGGGAGGAAUACCAGUGGCGAAGGCGGCCUUCUGGACUGACACUGACGCUGAGGUGCGAAAGCGUGGGUAGCAAACAGGAUUAGAUCCCCGGUAGUC
rnacentral:rRNA from 1 species